rnacentral:rRNA from 1 species
UACGGGGGGGGCAAGCGUUGUUCGGAAUUACUGGGCGUAAAGGGCUCGUAGGCGGCCAACUAAGUCAGACGUGAAAUCCCUCGGCUUAACCGGGGAACUGCAUCUGAUACUGGAUGGCUUGAGUUCGGGAGAGGGAUGCGGAAUUCCAGGUGUAGCGGUGAAAUGCGUAGAUAUCUGGAAGAACACCGGUGGCGAAGGCGGCAUCCUGGACCGACACUGACGCUGAGGAGCGAAAGCCAGGGGAGCAAACGGG